rnacentral:rRNA from 1 species
AACGAACGCUGGCGGCAGGCCUAACACAUGCAAGUCGAGCGGACCCUUCGGGGUUAGCGGCGGACGGGUGAGUAACGCGUGGGAAUAUGCCCUUCUCUACGGAAUAGUCCUGGGAAACUUGGGGUAAUACCGUAUACGCCCUUUGGGGGUAAGAUUUAUCGGGGAAGGAUUAGCCCGCGUUGGAUUAGGUAGUUGGUGGGGUAAUGGCCUACCAAGCCGACGAUCCAUAGCUGGUUUGAGAGGAUGAUCAGCCACACUGGGACUGAGACACGGCCCAGACUCCUACGGGAGGCAGCAGUGGGGAAUCUUAGACAAUGGAGGCAACCCUGAUCUAGCCAUGCCGCGUGAGUGAUGAAGGCCUUAGGGUUGUAAAGCUCUUUCAGCUGGGAAGAUAAUGACGGUACCAGCAGAAGAAGCCCCGGCUAACUCCGUG